rnacentral:rRNA from 1 species
UACGUAGGGUGCAAGCGUUAUCCGGAAUUAUUGGGCGUAAAGAGCUCGUAGGCGGUUUGUCGCGUCUGCUGUGAAAUCUGGGGGCUCAACCCCCAGCCUGCAGUGGGUACGGGCAGACUAGAGUGCGGUAGGGGAGAUUGGAAUUCCUGGUGUAGCGGUGGAAUGCGCAGAUAUCAGGAGGAACACCAAUGGCGAAGGCAGAUCUCUGGGCCGUAACUGACGCUGAGGAGCGAAAGCAUGGGGAGCGAACAGG